UACGGAGGGGGCUAGCGUUGUUCGGAAUUACUGGGUGUAAAGCGCGCGUAGGCGGCUUUGUAAGUUAGAGGUGAAAGCCCGGAGCUCAACUCCGGAAUUGCCUUUAAGACUGCAUCGCUAGAAUCAUGGAGAGGUGAGUGGAAUUCCGAGUGUAGAGGUGAAAUUCGUAGAUAUUCGGAAGAACACCAGUGGCGAAGGCGACUCACUGGACAUGUAUUGACGCUGAGGUGCGAAAGCGUGGGGAGCAAACAGG
rnacentral:rRNA from 1 species